UAACGUCUUUAACUUUUUACCCUCACCCGCUUUUUUUCUAUUUUUUUUUAAUUUUUUUUUCUUUAUUAUUUUUUUUCCUUUUUUGUGUAGUA
rnacentral:ribozyme from 1 species